rnacentral:lncRNA from 1 species
ACACAAAAUUGAUCUCCUUUUAAGGUUGGCAUCCUAUGGAAGAUAAGGAUAAGAAUAAGGUAGUUUUGUUUCAAAUUCAAAUGUUGGUUGAUCCUUAUUAUCAAUUCAAAUCUUUAUCUUUAUCUUUAUCUUAUGAACUUAGAGAGGGGUCGACCAAUAUCAGAAUGGUGCAAAAAAUCUCAUGCAAAAAUACUUUAUACAUGGAGAAA